GACGUAGGGCGCGAGCGUUGUCCGGAUUUAUUGGGCGUAAAGAGCUCGUAGGCGGCUUGUCGCGUCGACUGUGAAAACCCGCGGCUCAACCUCGAGACGUCGGCGGAAACCAUCUGGCUAGAGUCCGGAAGAGGAGAGUGGAAUUCCUGGUGUAGCGGUGAAAUGCGCAGAUAUCAGGAAGAACACCCGUGGCGAAGGCGGCUCUCUGGGACGGUACUGACGCUGAGACGCGAAAGCCAGGGGAGCGAACGGG
rnacentral:rRNA from 1 species